GACGAACGCUGGCGGCGUGCUUAACACAUGCAAGUCGAACGGAAAGGCCUGCUUUCUCUUGUGGAUUGCGGGUACUCGAGUGGCGAACGGGUGAGUAACACGUGAGUGAUCUGCCCCCAACUUGGGUAUAAGCCUGGGAAACUGGGUCUAAUUCCCGAUAGGACUGCAGGGUGGUGUCUGUGGUGGAAAACGAUUUUCUAGUGGUUGGGGAUGAGCUCGCGGCCUAUCAGCUUGUUGGUGGGGUAAUGGCCUACCAAGGCGGCGACGGGUAGCCGGCCUGGGAGGGUCGACGGUGACAUUGGGACUGGGUUACGGCCCAUACGCCUGCGGGAAGCAGGAGUGGGGAAGAAAGCGCAAUAGGCGGAAGCCAGAUGCAGCGAGGCCGCGUUGGGGAUGUCGGCCUCGGGGUUGUAAGCUCCUUUCGACCGCGAGGUAGCCACCUGGUUGUAAGGGUGGUGACGGUAGUGGUAGAAGAAGCACCGGCUAACUACGUG
rnacentral:rRNA from 1 species